rnacentral:miRNA from 1 species
AAGAAACAACAAAUACGGAAUC